GAUCCUGGCUCAGGACGAACGCUGGCGGCGUGCCUAACACAUGCAAGUCGAACGGGGCUAGGAAAGCUUGCUUUCCGAAGCCUAGUGGCGGACGGGUGAGUAACGCGUGAGUAACCUGCCUUUCAGAGGGGAAUAACGUUCUGAAAAGAACGCUAAUACCGCAUAACGUACAGUUACCGCAUGGUAGCAGUACCAAAGGAGCAAUCCGCUGAGAGAUGGACUCGCGUCCGAUUAGCUAGUUGGUGGGUAAAG
rnacentral:rRNA from 1 species